UAAAGAUGGCGAUAGAUGAAACGGGUUGGAGAUCAACUUUAUCCGGGAGCAGACCUAUCUCAAAUCUAGUUUGAAAAAGUAGUAGUCUUCUUGUGGGUUAAUGUGUAGCAAUUAUAUGCGUUCACACCAUAUUCGACGUAUUUAGUGCUCCAUUUGCUCAAAUAAUUAUUGAAUUGUAGCCGUGCACGAACAACCUCGCGAGCAAUUGCACAGUGCAGUCCGUCCUGAGAGAAGAACGGACAAAGUUUAUUACGAGGAACGAGUCGGUCUUCCGCUGUGACACUGAUUUUCGAGAUUACGUUAUCGUUCAUAAAUGUUAGGAAUACAACGAGGUCAUCAGCGGCCCGACAGGUUCACGUGCCAAGAGAGGUAGGAGGACGACGAGAAGGAGGGGUGAGGAAGAUUAGGGAGAUUGGGCUGCUGCCGCCGCGACUGCUGCUGGAUUGAGUUCCUCGCCAGCAAGAGGCACACACACUCACUCCGGGCGAUGACUCUGGAGCUGGCAGUCUACACUGUGGAGAAUGUCAAUGACCUGAUGACCUGUGGAUGAGGACAUCGCUGGAACACCUCAGAACUUGGGUAUGGUCACUAUUCUACCCGUUUUGUGGAUGCAACUAGAAGGCAUUAGCAUUGCUAUGUUUUUGUAUAGACACGCUGUCACCACAGUAAUGUUUCGCUCGUCUUAUUAGCAUCCAGAAAUGCCGGUAAUUGGUGAAACUACACAGCUCGGAGCAGAACUCAACAGAACAGGUCCCCUAUGAAGCUCCAUUGUCUAUGUAGUGACGGCGAAGGAGGGGCAGAAGGCCCUAGAUGUAUUCUGCAUCAGGAGUGGGCUGUGUGUGUGAUAAGACACAAUUGAGGUAUUAGAAGAUUGUACUCCCAGAGAGAUGACGGUGCUUGGGCUUUUAUUAUCUGCAAGAGGAAGAUAAAUGAGUCGGAUGAUGAUGGGUUUAUUUCGUCAGACUUAUAUAAAUUCCGGCUUUCUUCCUCACACAAGGGAUUCAGUCAACUAUCUGUGCCAUCAAGCAAGAAAAAAGGGAGUGAUGUUGACAGUUGAGUUCAUCUCCUCACAGCAAGGUGUCCAUUAGUGACCAGCCACUGUGUGCUACUGUUAAUCUGGCCCCACGUCCCAAACCCUGACAAGCUGUCCCAUUGGGAGAUGUUCCCUUCUGCUUCUUUCUA